rnacentral:rRNA from 1 species
GAUGAACGCUGGCGGCGUGCCUAAUACAUGCAAGUCGAGCGAACAGACGAGGAGCUUGCUCCUCUGACGUUAGCGGCGGACGGGUGAGUAACACGUGGAUAACCUACCUAUAAGACUGGGAUAAUUUCGGGAAACCGGAGCUAAUACCGGAUAAUAUAUUGAACCGCAUGGUUCAAUAGUGAAAGACGGUUUUGGUGUCAGUUAUAGAUGGAUCCGCGCCUCAUUAGCUCGUUGGUAAGGUAACGGCUUACCAAGGCAACGAUGCGUAGCCGACCUGAGAGGGGGACCGGGCACAAGGCGACUGGGGGACGGCCCAGACGGCAAUGGGAGGCAGCAGUGGGGAACAUGGCACAAUGGGCGGAAGCGUGAUGCAGCAACGUCGGGUGCGGGAAGAUGGUUUUCGGGGUGAAAACAGAUUUCGACUGUGAAGAAGCGUGAGUGACGGUAAUGGAUAAAGAAGCACCGGCUAACUACGUG